UGAUGCCAGGGUCAAAAGGUCAUAAACCACGUUGUGCUUGCACAAAAGUGGUUUUAUGUCUUUAUGACCCGCCCCAAAAUGAGGAUAAAAGUGGGGCGUAUGCCCCGCGAUAUCCGAAUAUGGGGCAGAAUUGUGAGAGUGCGCAGCACGAAACAAUUCGUCAGGCAUCU
rfam:Firmicutes bacterium CAG:646 genomic scaffold, scf194